rnacentral:lncRNA from 1 species
AGCCACCGUUUUUAGUGAGAAAGAAGAGAAGAGAGAAAAAUGCAAGUUUUUCUCAUCAUGCCCAGAUUUCAUCAAAGGUUUGAUCCCACUUCGUCCGUGGUCCGAUCAAGCUGAAAUUUGGAGGAGAGUUUCGUGACUCAUUUAUCUUCAAUCUGAACGGUGAAGAUCGGAUUUGGAGUUUCGGAAAGUCAUUAGAAAGAAAGAGGAGAAGAGAGAAAAACGUAGGUUUUUCUCAUCAUGCCCAGAUUUCAUCAAAUGUCCGAUCCCGCUUCGUCCGUGGUCCGAUCGAGUUGAAAUUUGAAGGAGAGGUUCGUGGCUCAUGUAUCUUCAAUAUGAACGGUGGAGAUCAGAUUUGGAGUUUCGGACAGUCAUUAGAGAGAAAGAGGAGAAGAGAGAAAAACGUAGGUUUUUCUCAUCAUGCCCAGAUUUCAUCAAAUGUCCGAUCCCACUUUGUCCGUGGUCCGAUCGAGUUGAAAUUUGAAGGAGAGGUUCGUGGCUCAUGUAUCUUCAAUAUGAACGGUGGAGAUUGGAUUUGGAGUUUCGGACAGUCAUUAGAGGGAAAGAGGAGAAGAGAGAAAAAUAGUGGUUUUUUACAUCAUGCCCAGAUUUCAUCAAAGGUCCGAUGCCGCUUUUUUCAUGGUCUGAUUGAGCUGAAAUUUGGAGGAGAGGUUUAUAAGUCAUUAAUAUUAAAUUUGAACGGUGAAGAUCGGAUUUAGAGUUUUGGAAAGUCAUCUUUCAGCCAAAAACAAAACAUUUAUUUUAUCAAAGAUGGCGUUUCCUGAAAGUGUCAUUGUUGCCUAAGACAUACAAUGACAGAGGCGAAGAGAACGCUUUAGAGAAGCGUCAUCUGUUACCUUUCUUGACGCUUAAAAAACGUCAUUGUUUCCCAUUUUUCUUGUAGUUUAAGGUACUAAAAUACAAAAAUUUUGAUCAAAGUACAAGAAUGCUACUGAAAUAUGAGAAAUAUGACUAUUUGAAAAAUAUGAACAUGGUAUGAAUAAUGUAACUAGAAUAUAUAUGAAGAAUGCUAUCAAAGUACAAUAAACAUGACCAAAGUACUAAGAUAUAAAAUUUAUGAUUUAGAUAUUAAAAUUGUAAUUAUGGUACAAAAAGUAUAAGUAGGAUAUGAGGAUUGUGAUCGAGAUACAAAAAUGAUAUUAAGAUAUGAAAAAUAUAGCCAAAAUACUAAAAUAUGAAAACUAUGAGCUAGAUGUGAAGAAUAUAACUAAGUCAUAGGAAAUGUGAUUAAAAUACCAAGAAUAUGAGUAUCAAAAAUGUAAUUGGGAUGUGAAAAAUGUCUCAAUGCCUAUACAUUAAAUAAAAGAAAUAAUUAUGUAAAAUAGCAUAAAAUAAAUAAAUAAGAAAACACUACAUCAAGAGAAUGGGAUCUCCAAUGUAUUUUUUAUCUUCUUCACCACACAAAGGAAAUUCAGCUUAACAUAACUAAUUACAAAAUUAUAGAAUAUAAAUGAGAUUAAUUAAUUUUUAAUCUUCUUUAUUAUCUUUAAUUACUAAUCAAGUUCCCAAUUUGCAUUUAAAAAAUAUCUUAAUGACCAAAUAAAGAAGAGUUUAAAAAUUUUUGUUUUUAUGCAACACAUGUCUUGUGGUUGCAUUCCUCUCUUUCAAUAAGUUUUAUUUUAUUUAAUUUUUUUUAUUUUUAUUACCUUUCAAUAUACAUGAGAUAAGAUAUUAUUGGUGAAAGUACAUACGAUAUUAAAGAAUCACGCAUUGAUACCAAAGUUUGACCUCAACAUUGACUCAUUGUGGUAUGUAUAUUUAUAGUGCAAUCGGAAGCAGUGAUUUUUGUGAAUUGAUAUAAAACAAACCGGAUAAAAGAGAUUUUCCAAAGUUUGAUUAUCACAAGUGACUAAUUUAGAGAUACAAGUAGUCGAAUUCAGUAGAACUAACUAACUAAUCUCCAUCCUCUUACAGCUCCAAUUCCUACCAAACAUGGAACUUGUGGUGGGGCCAGAGCCCCUUUCAAUUAUUGAAUGAUCUCAUUCAAUUCUGACAGCACAACAAGCUCCACAUUCCAAACCCUCGCCAACACCUUUCCUCGAAACGAUAUAAGCAACUACAUGACUUGUAAACAAAUACCUACUUUCUAUCUUUAUAACGUGUUACUCCACAUUUCCACAAAACCUCAAGCCCUAUAUCCAUGGAGAGAAGGAAAUCCAGAGUCAGCCUCGACCCUUUAGCCACGGUGAAAGCGGCUGCAUGGGCUUGGUAUCAGCGUGGAUCAGGGUCUGAAGGCAAACCCAUAAGCGAGUUCCAGGUCACCAGGGCUCGUCCUGCUCCCAUACCCUCACGGUACAAGCUAGAAGCCAUGAGAAUGGCUGAAGAAGGUCCAGAGAAGGAGGGCUCAAGCGCAAGUUCCGCUACCUCUACUCCAAAUCUUAGCCAUACUUCUCUUCUUGAUACGUACGAAAUAGAAAGAAUCUCUCAGCAGCUUGAUAUUCUCAUAGAAACAAGCGGCAAAGGCAUCAGAACUGGCACCAACUUGUACAAAGGAAGCGGCACAAAUUCGAGGAAGGAGAAGAAGAAAUUGAAAGGGUUUUGGGCAAGGCAUGCGAUUGUGUGUGGCACAGAGGACGAUGUGUUGGAGACAAUAAGAGUUUCGGGGGGCGAUCGGAAGAGCAGGUGGCAGUGAUUAAGGCGGGGAGUUGCAGUUCACGAGGUGCCCAUGCCUGAGUGAAUUGGACCAUGUUGCAUUUUCGGUUGGGUCGUUGGCAAUUUAUUAAAUUUGCCACAUCUGCAGGACUAUGUAGUUUAGGGUGGAUUCCAAUUAUAGACCACAUUGAUCAUGCUGUGUCCCGGGUUUCUUUCUUCACGCGUACAAUGCUGCAAACCUCUGAUUUGUACACAUCCGCAUUGGUUUGUUGGGUCAAGGAAAUAAAGCAAUAAAAUAUAGUUUCAUUCAAUAAUUUUCCCUGAUUAUUUUUAUUUUCAUUUACUUUUUGGUGUUCAAUAUUUGCUACAUUAGGAAAAGUUUUGUAGGUUUCGUGAAGAAGUUGCAAUGUUACUUUCAAUCAAGGACUUUAUCAGGUGUUAUUCCAAAUACACAAAUACACAUCGGUUAUGAAUAUGUUUGGAAUUAUAAACAGGAAAAGGAAAUGGAAAAUUCAUUUGAUUUUCUAUUCAUUAUUACUACUUAUGAAUUCAUUUGAUGCAGAUCCUUUUCCUUUCUUUUUUUUCUUUCCUUCAGGGUUUUAGAUUUCUAAAGUAGUUCUGAAAAGAGUAGUCCUCGCCAAUUUGUUCAACAACCUGUAAUCUACAAAGCAUUAAAACUAUGAAAGACUAAAGAAUUUACAUAUGUAUAUAUAAGUAGAAUAUUGAUGGAGAAGUUUGUAUUUUUGUGAAAUAUAUCGAGUAAGCCACAUUAAAUGUCAUGUCACUUCUUAUAUGCUUUCUGAUAAAUAUAUUGUGUGGACUAGACCCUCCGGCCACUAACAUGGUACUAGUGGAGCAACAUUGAAUAGGGUCUCAUGCGAGAAAAGGACUUGUGUCUGUAUUGUCUUCUUUUGUGAUUAUCUGCUCGAAGCAUCACCAAAUGGGAUCUUCUGGUCUAUUAGAUGAUGAGUAAAAUUAUGUUCAACUGCUCAUAUUUUUUAUGACCUUCUUUUCUACUUGUAAAACAAUUUGAAAUAUGAUUUUUAAGCAGUUACAAUUUCUCAUAGUUAGAUGUGUUGUGCAUAUAUAGGAUUACCUGGAGCCUGGAGGCAACAUUGAAUGGCCUAUUAUAAGGAAGGUGCUGGUGACUGACGUUUUGGGGUACUACGUGCUCCAAGGACGGCCAAGUGGAAUGUAAAGGCCAUUUUGGACCACCGCUAGUGGAGUUCGAUCUUUGUCCACCACCAAAAUUGAGUGAAAUUCCAUCUUAAGUCAUAUUGUUGACUCGCAUAUUUCUCUUAUCAUUAAUUUUAUAUCUCAAUCAUGUUGGAAAUUCUGUUUUACUCUUUUACCCGAUCGCAAGUGAAAUUUAAUCUAAAAUGAGUUGAAUUUAAUUUAAUUUAAUUACCCUUCCAUCAUUUAUUUUUAAUUGUUAAAUAAUUUGAAAUUUUAUUUUGAUGGAUGUUACUUUUAUAUUGUUUUUUGCCACCUCUCUUAUAAUAAAAUUAUAUUUGAUUCGCAAAAGAUAAGAUUAUAUAAAAUAAAAUAAAAUAAAAUAAAAAGUGAGCCAACAUAGUUUGAUUGAGAAUGUGGGAAGAAAAGUUUAGCUUUGGUAAGAUAAGUGAGUCACCUCUCCUAUCUAAUUUCAUUGCCGAGAUAUAAGCAGAAAGGAUUUUAAAUUCAUUUUUUUUUCAUUAAUUCUUUCUCUAUAUAUUUUAUUAAAUUAAAACUUUUUGUUUGGAAAAAGAAAAAUUAAAAUUAAAAAUAUUUAUAUAUAGAAUAUAUUUUAAAAUAAUAUUAAUAUAUAGUGUUAUUUAAUGUAAUAUAUAAUAUGUUUUUCUAUAUUUAGUAUAUAAUUUAAUUAAUGUACAUUAUUUAAUCACAUGUUUUUAUUUUUUAUUUAUAAAAUUGUAGAUAUUUUAAUUAUUGACACAACUAAAAUAUUAACUAAUUACAAGUCAUGGGUUGCAUCAGGAGUUGCACAAAUUAUACAAGUCAUGGAAUUUUUGUACGAUGAUAAAUUAUUAACAGUCGAUUCAUGGAUUUGGGUAAUCUAUUAAAGGUUGUAGUGCAAUACCUCUUAAUUGGAUAAGUUGAUUGUCCUGGUUGUCAGGAUGAGUUUCUCAUAGUGAGUGUAUUAGUAUGUAUGGUUACACAUAAUCAUAAUGUAAGAUUAUCAAUUGUCAUGAUUCACUAAGCUAAUAUAUUGCAUGGACUCUCCAAAUGCUUGUGUACUAGAACUGACAAAAAUAGUAGGUUCAGGAACCUUUGGAUACAUAGUCCUUUGUGCUUAUGUGGUAGUGUCUUCAAGUGUUUUCCAAUCUAUAUCAUGUUUUGUCCUACUACUCAUAUAGUCUUCUUCCAAAAAUAUGACAUUUAUACUAACAAGUACCUUUUAGUCAAUCUAACUAUAAAAGUAAUGCCCUAUUGUUCCUUUUGGAUAGCCUACAAACUGACAUACCUCAAACCUUACUCCCAACUUGUCUACCUUUGGCUUCAGCACAUGUGUUGGACACCCCCCCCCCCCCCCCAAAAUUUGAAUGUCGCUAUGAACACUAAAUUACUCUGUUUCUUGAAGGAUGCAUGCAUCUAUCCUAAGAUUCUCUAAAUCUAACGUAGCAAAAAAUAAUGAUUUCAAAAACCAUAUAACAUAUCAGAUUUAGACAUUAAAAUUUCACACCUAUGAUUUGGAUUUUCCUAAAUUGAUUUGCAUCCAAUGAAAACUCUAAAACCACGAUGGUUGUUGUAGAACUCAUCUACCCGACGAUCUUCCACCUGAUCUCUCCAUGGGUCUUGGCAUAAUAGUAACCCAAUCCAUAGGGAGUAUAUGACCAAUUUAAGGUCUUAGCCAUAGGUUAAAGUCUCUUAUUGAUUUCAACACAAGCUUAAUAUUCUCUCAAGGUUGAGAGUUCAUGCAACAUAGUAGAUUGGUAAAACAUGACAAUUUGAUAGCCUUAUGUCAUGAUUCAAUGUAGGUCCUGUCCAAUUUAUAACCAUACACACUAGUGCACUCAACAUGGGAAACCCAUCUUGACAGUCAAAACAAGUCAUUCCUCUAAUUAGAAGGUAGUGCACUAUAAUCUCUACUGGAUUGCCUAGAUCCAUGAAUUAAUUGUGAACAACUUAUCAUCUUACAAGGAACCCAUGACUUAUAUCCUCUAUAUAACUCCUAGUGUACCCAAGUCAUGUACAAUGCAAGUAAUAUGAGUUGAAUGCUCAAAUCAAUGUUAGUGCAUAAAAAUGAUAGCAAGAGGAUAGUGAAUUUUAACUUCAUUACAUCAUGGCUUGCUUUUAGGGGCUCAAUCCCAACUAAUAUGUUGCAAACUGGGUUUAGGACCUUCCCACAUCUCUAUGAGAGUUAAAGGUAACAACUUGGAAGACACUAGGUUGAGAAAGUAAGCCAUAGUAUCCAAGCUAUAUCCCCAAAAAGAUACAAGAAUUGGUAAGAAGCUCAUCAUAGAUCUCACCAUGUCCAUCAAUGUUUGAUUUCUUAUUUCUGGUACUCCAUUUUGUUGUGGAGCUCCAAGUGCACUCAAUGGGGAUAUAAUAUAAUGCUCCUUAAUAAAAGAAUUGAACUAGGAAUACAUGUACUCACCACCUCGAUCAGUUCAAAGUGCCUUAACAUGUUUACCCAACUCAUUUUUUAUUCCACCUUGAAUUCUAUGAAUUUGUCCAAGGCUUCGGACUUCCUAUGCAUUAGGUAAAUAAACAUGAACCUUGAGUAAUCAUUCGUAAACAUGAUGAAAUACUCAUACCUUCCUUGUGCAUUGACAUUAAAAUGCCCACACACGUUAGUAUAUACCAACUCUAAACACUCUUUAGCUCUAUAUCCUUCAGUAGUAAAAGGCAUCUAGGUCAUUUUACCUUCUAUACAGGAUUCAUAGAUUGGAAGAUCUUUUGGAAUCAAAGGUGCAAUAUUCCAAAGUUAACUAGUCUUUGGAUCCUAUUUAGAUUAAUAUGACCUAUGCACAAGUGCCAAAAUUAUGUUUGAUUAAUGCUAAGAUUUUUUAUUUAAAGUGUGACAUGAUAAUUCUCAUUACUUGGCAAAAUAGAUAAUGGUGAUAUAUUAUAAAGAUUAUCUAUCAAUGAUCCUAAGCAUAUAAACAAAUUAUUCAAUUUAAUAAAAACCUAUUUAUUAUAAAUAAAAAAUAAAAAAAGAACCACUAAAUAAUUCAAUUUACAUAAGAGAAACUAAAAUCAAAUUCUUCAUAAACUCAAGAACAUAAAAGCAAUCUUUUAAUUCUAGAAGAUAACAAUCAUCUAAGAUAAGGGUAACGUCUCUCACUACUUGCACGUCAAUCGUCACUUUAGAAGCUAAUUUCUGGUACAUGUCCCCAUCAUUCAAGCUUCCCCCUUAGUUGAAACCCCUAUAAAGAAUUACAAACAUGGUCAAUGGCCCCAAAAUCUAUCCACCAAGAAUUAGUAGAAUCCAACAUUAAACAUGAUUCAAUUAAAAGUGAAUGAUGCAUACCUAACUAUAUCUUUAGGAAAAUGUGGCACUCAUUUUUUGAAUGACAUUUCUUACCAUAAAAGAAGCACUUGCCUUGACCCCUUACUCUUCUUCUUUUUUUCCCUUGCUCUUAAACUUUCCCUUUUACUUAAUGAUCUUAAAAGGGUUCUUCUUUUUCUUGUUAAAAGAACCUAAAGAACCCUUAAUUUCCAUAUGAAUGCCCCUCUAGUCUUUGAGAACCCCCUCAGCCAUUUAGAGUUCUCUUAUCAAUUAAAUUAAGCUUACCACCAACUUAUCCAUAUAAUAGUUGAGCUUCAACUACCUAAAAGAAUUUGAUAAGAUCUAUAAAACCAUGUCAACUUAGGUUUCUCAAUCAAUCUUAGCUCCAAGGAUCUUUAUCUUGUUAAAGAGUUUGAUCAUAUGAAUUAUAUGAUAUCUAAUAGGAGUUCCUUCUAACAUCUUAGCAUUCAUAAUAGUUCAAAGCAACAUGUUUAGCUAACCUACCCUUACCACCAAACAUCUCAUGGAGACUAAGAAUAAUAUCAUAAGCUAUUAGCAUAGACACAUGUUAAUGUUGUAGCAUGUUUUCUAAGGACCCAAUUAUGAUACAUUUGGUCUUUUGAUCCACCUUCUCCCUACUAUGAUAAUUAUCCUUCUCCUCUUAAGUGGAAUGUUCAUUCUAGGGAGAUGAAGCAAAUUCCUAAGUCACCCACUUUAGCUCCUCUAAAGUAAGUGUUGUAUCCAGAUUCCUUUUCCAAUCCACGUAGUAAGAAGAUGGACCAAAUUCCUAACUUAGCCACUUUAGCUCCUCUAAAGUGAGUGUUGUGUUUGAAUUUCUUUUCCAAUCCACAUAGUUUGGAUUAUGCAAUUUAUUAGUAGUGAGUAUGAGAUUAAGCGGAUUAUAUGACAUGAUAUUUAUAAUAAAAACAAAAACAAUGCAUUAAUAAAAUGAGCAUACAUAUCAAGGAUAAAUUUAGAAAAAAUGUAGAAUUCUUAAGGCUACAUUUCCAUUUGCAAGGUAUCUUAGUAUCAUAAAAAUCAAACCUACAUAAGAUAGGUCAUAACCUUAUUAUUGGUUAGAAAUAAGAAUGAAAAAUUUGGGAUAUAUCAUCCAUAUAUUGUGUAUAAAGAGCCAUGGAAGCAAUAUUUCAAGGUGAUAUAUUAAGGAGGAGAAAUAUCGGGAAAAAAAUCGCCAAAUACUACUGAUAUAUCAACAAUAUAUCAUCGAUUGGUAAUAAAUCUCUAACUUAUGGAAUUAAUCGGCUAACGUUCCAAUAUAUCGUCGAUAUAUCAACAAUUUAUAAACAAAAAAUCAUUGAUUUUUAUGGAUAAAUUGACACAUAGGGAAGGCAUGAUCUGAUGGCCUAGAUCAUGCCCAUGUUGCAAUAGUCAUCUACCUCUUUAUUUGAUGGCCCACUAAGAGGUGAUCCAAUGACUGGGAAGGAAUCCCAACGACUAUUUGAUGAUCCAAUGGUUAGAUUUCGCUCAAAUUUCGAUCCAACAGCCAGAAUUGUUUUCAAACGUUAAAAUGACAUUCCAAUAGCUAUUUUGGCCCAAUUUUUUCUACAAUAGCUCAUUUUUCCUUUUUCAUACUUCAAUUGAUCUCUUAUUGCUCAUAAUAUUUUUGUUAUUAUUCUCAAAUUCUAAUAAAUUUGGGAAUUUAUAAGUCAAGUUUGUGGAUUAACUCUGAAUUCCAAACAAAGGUUGCUCAUUUAUUGUAAGGUAUGUUUGUUUUAAAUUUUAAUUAUUUUGUAUUAAAGUGUAAUUAAUUAGUAGAUUUUUAAUUAAUUAGUAUAUUUUCAAUAGAUUUAGUAAAUUAACUUAGCUUAGUUAUAUAUUUGAUUCAUAUAAUUAGUAGAUUUGCAAUAAGUUAAUUUUAAAUUAAUUAUUUUAUUUUAUUUUUAUAUUGAAUUGUAAUUAAUUAGUAGAUUUUCAAUGAAUUAGUAUAUUUUCAAUAGAUUUAGCAAAUUAACUUGGCUUAGUUAUAUAUUUUUUUCACAUAAUUAGUAGAUUUGCAAUAAGUUAAUUUUAAAUUAAUUAUUUAAUAUUAUUUUUAUAUGCAAUUGUAAUUAAUUACUAGAUUUUCAAUAGAUUUACUAUAUUUUCAAUAUAUUUAGUAAAUUAACUUAGCAUAGUUUUAUAUUUGAUUCACAUAAUUAGUAGAUUUGCAAUAAGUUGGUUUUAAAAUAAUUAUUUAAUUUUAUUUUUAUAUUCAGUUGUAAUUAAUUAAUAGAUUUACUGUAUUUUCAAUAUAUUUAGUAAAUUAACUUAGCAUAGUUUUAUAUUUAAUUUAUAUAAUUAGUAGAUUUGCAACAGGUUGAUUUUAAAUGAAUUAUUUAAUUUUAUUUUUAUAUUCAAUUGUAAUUAAUUAGUAGAUUUUCAAUAGAUUUACUAUAUUUUCAACACAUUUAGUAAAUUAACUUAGCAUAGUUUUAUAUUUGAUUCACAUAAUUAGUAGAUUUGCUAUAAGUUGAUUUUAAAUUAAUUAUUUAAUUUUAUUUUUAUAUUCAAUUGUAAUUAAUUAGUAGAUUUUCAAUGGAUUUAAUAAAUUAACUUAGCAUAGUUAUAUAUUUGAUUCAUAUAAUUAAUAGUUUUGCAAUAAGUUAAUGAAAUUAAUGAUUUAAUUUUAAUAUUUUGUAUCAUUACUAGACAUUGAACUUAAAUUACUUCAAUUUCAUGUUAUGCAUACUUCCAAUUGAAUAGAAUGGCCAAUGCAAGUGGAAGUGAAAAUGGAGGUGGUGGGAGUGGCAUGGCAGGGUGAAAUCCAACUUAGAAGCAUUGUUCAUCGGUGAAGAGAAAUAAAAAUGGGACAAUUUGUAAUUAUUGUGGAUUGUUGAUGAAGAGUGGAUGCAUCACUUGAUUAAAAAGUUCAUUUAGCGCAUAGAGACUCCCACAACAACACCAUAAAGUUUCCUAGAGUGCCUCCUAAAGUGAAAGAAGAGAUAUGAAAGAUGUUGCAUCAAAAAGCUAAAGCAAAAGCAAAGAAAGUUGCAUAAUAAGACUAAUGUUUACCCUCCUUAUGUGAUGGGUUAUGGUCAACCUUCAAGUUCAACCGAUGAAGAUUAUGGUAUGCCUAGCUAUUCUCCUUCUGCACAAAUAUCAUACCACAUUCCAUAUCAGAUGUAAGGAGGAUUUGACACAAGCACAUGGGUGAACCUCAAGUAUCCCAUCCAUAGAGAGAUAGUGGGCAAGAUUCAACAGAUUUGUGCAUGGCAUGUUCGAAUUUUUAAUCAAUACUAUUGAGGCUCAGUGAGUUAGUACCAAUAUUGUCUCCAACAACAAGACAAGGUUCCUUCAUCUACCAAUUCCAUUAAACCACAUCGAUCACCAUUUUGAUACUAAAUAGUCAUUACAAUGUAUAGGUAAUCACUCAGUCACUGAAUAUGCUCAAUGUUUACAAAACUUAUAGCAAGAAUUGGACCAUUAUCAGUGUAUUGAGAUGAAGUGUAGCAAAGAUCCAACCCUUUUUAAACGUUUUAUGGAAAAAGAGAGGAUUUACCCCUUUAUUGUUAGAUUGAAUAUUGAGUUUGAUCUUGUUCGAGUGCGACUGUUAGGAAAGGAAGAGUCUCUUUACUCAAUGAAACAAUUGCCAUAAUUCAUGAAAAAAAAAAAGAUAAAAAGGGUUAUAUUAGAGCCUCAAUCAACUGAUGGUUCAACCUUGGUUACAAAAGAUGGAAGUCUUAGAGCUGUAAAAUUAAACUAGUAGUAGUUAAAUGCCUAUUCUAACGGAGAAAGAGGAAAUAAUGGGCAAUCAGAAGUGAGAAAAACACCCAAGAGGGGGUGAAUUGGGUUUUAAAAAAAACUUUUUGAACACAACAAAUUUAAGCACAAAAGAAGCAAAUAUAAAGAGAUAGAGUUAGAGAAAUCAAACUCAGAUUUUAUAAUGGUUCGACACUUGCUUGCCUACACCCACUCUCCUCAAGCUCCUAACCGAGUGAGGGUUCCACUAACUUGAAGCUUCAACCAAGCUUCUAAUCACCUUUACACUUGGAUUCUGGCUCCAAUGGCCUUUUACACCAUCUCUUCAAGUUUCAACUCACUUGAAAGGUUUAACACUCAAUUAACAGAUAUGAAUCUCUCAACCGAGCUCAACAAAGGCUCAAAUACAACUCAAGGCCAGGAUGAAUCACAAAGGUGCACUAAAGGAUAUGCAAAUGGAGAUUUAAUGAACCAAGAAAGGAAUGAGAGCUUAAGCUAAGAACAAGUGAGUAAACAAAUAAAUACAGGUGUUCUCUUACUCAUAAAUGAAGUGAAGCUCUCUAUUUAUAUGUUUCUAACCUCAGGAGCCAAGAAAACCGAAAAGCAGCCUCAACCGAUCGAGUUGGGGGUCGAUCGGUUCACUAGCUGUUAAAGCAUUUAAUGCUUGGUAGGUGACCGUUACCCUUGAUCGGACAUCGACCAGACCUCGAUCAGAGGUCGACCGGGAAGGCAAAUACCUUGACCGGGAAGGAAAGGCUAUUGGAAGAAAGAGAAUGUUUUUUGCACUCCUUGACAGGACCUCAACCGGGAAGAGAGAACCGGUCGAUUGGUAUCCCUAGUUGAGUCGGUUAGCCAGUGCCUCAACCGGUUCACCAUUUUUUACCUGAAAACCUAUCUUUUUUUUGUCUUUUUUCUUCUAACACUUAGGCAAGGUCUUUAGGUAAAUUAGUAUGCCAAUUUUGAAGUGAUUUUCCUAAGGUUCAUUUGAUAAAACUCGGGUUUUGAUGAAACUGUAACUUUAAAGAAUAAACCGAGUUUUUCAAAGAUGCAAGAAAUGAUAUGUAAAUCCUAAGUGCACCCAUGCAUUCAUCUUACAUAUGUUUCCUAUGAUUAAAGGUCUUCCAAAGGUCUUGAUCUUACAUCCAUUAGGUCAUUUAAUGAAUUACAAAUUAAUACCUAAAAUUCUUUAUAAUUCAAACCAAUUAGUAACUUAACCAUGGUUUGUUAUCAUCAAACCUGAUUAGGAGAACCCUUAGGCUAACAAGAAGGAUCAAGAACAAGAAAUAAAGACUCUUUAUGGUGUACCUAUUAUAAGAAGUUGUGACACGUGAAGGAGAGGUGUUGAAAACUCCAUAGUAAGCCCUCAAAUACUCAAAAUACUUCUUAGACAACAAAAAUUAAUCAAGAAGAAGUACAAAGACAUGCACAUUUGACCUUGGCACAAUCAAGAAGUGAAGAAGAAUUCUCUUAAGAGCGACCCAAGUUCAAUAGAGAAAAGAUUGAGAAAAACUGAGAUAUUUUUUAAGGACAUUGAGAAAUCUAUAAGUGGUACUUCUUCCUUGACUUUUUCACAUAAUUCUUAACCCUAUGCAUUUAAUGUGUAUAUCUCAAAAGGAGCAUAGAUAGUAGAUUCUGGUGCUAUGGAACAUAUGACCCAAUCUUCUCAUGGAUUUGUCUCUUAUAGUCUUUGUCCUAGUAAUAAGAAAAUUGCUAUUUGUAAUGACUCACACCUAACCAUGUAGAUAUUGUCAGUUUUAGGCCUAAAAGGUCCUCACGACUUUAAAAUGCGUCUACAUGAUUAAGAGGAGCUCAUAAUUAUAUAAUGCUAGGAACUUUCUUCUUUAUCCUAUGUGUGACAUCACAAACACCCUCCUCUAUGUAGACACAACGUCUUCAUUGUGUCCCAUGGGAUUACUAGGUCAAACAAACUGAGAAAAUAAAAACUAAUCUUAAAUGAGAAAAACACCCAAAAAGGGGGGUGAAUUGGUGAUUACUACCAAAAAGUGUUAUUUUGUAGACCUAAUUAUAAUGGUUUUAAGCACCUUUGAGUAGUAAUCAUAUUCAUUUAAACCAAUUAAUUCAUUAAGGUCCUUAGUAAUUGGUUUUAACCAUUUUGUGGCAAGUUUACAUGUUUUUAUCAGCUUAUGAAUCAAUUCAAGCAUGCCAAAUGAUGGAGGAGCUACUUGGACAAGUUAUGGCAAAGCUUUUGGAAGCUCAAAUUCAUGAAGAACCAAGCUUUGGAGCUACAUAGCCCUUUGCCAAAGUCGUUCAAAGUUUGCAAAGUGAAGCAAAGAGGAAAAGCAAGCAAAGAGGAAAACAGAGGACAGCAGCUGCAGUCUUAUUUCGCACUUUUGGAGCACUUCCCGAAGUCCAUUUUUUACAUACUAUAUACCAUUUCAAAGAUCUGGAAGUCAAGAAUCCAACGCUUCAAACCGUGUACGAUUUGGAGUUGAAAUGAGGAAGAUAUGGCCUUCGGAAGCCAACUGCUCCAGGUUAUGCGAAAAUUUCGCAUUCCACAAGGUGUUAUGCGAAAUUCGCAUAACAUUCGCAUAACCCAUGCGUGUUGCGAAUUUUGCUCUGUUUUUGCCGACUCCACUUUAGAUAUUUUCCUUUGUAUUUUGUGAUGUAAUUUCCUUUCUUAUCCUUGUAACUAACCAAUCACAAGCUUUUGCUUUUGUAAAGACUAUAUAAGGGGUGGAAAUCACCUCUUGAAGAUAUAGACGCAUAUAUACAGAGACGGAGCCUUGCUCUGUUUUUUCUCUCUUCUCCUGUUCUCCCGUUUCUAUUUUCUUAGUAGCCAAACAGCCUCUAAGGGCUUUUCCUUAGAGGAUGAUUGGCUAAAACUUUUAGUUUCUCAAAGUAUGGAUGUUAUGUGAUGGCUUGGAUGCAAUCCCAUGGAAAUUUCUCGCGCCCGGAAGGUAAGGGNNNNNNNNNNNNNNNNNNNNNNNNNNNNNNNNNNNNNNNNNNNNNNNNNNNNNNNNNNNNNNNNNNNNNNNNNNNNNNNNNNNNNNNNNNNNNNNNNNNNGAACCAUUGAUGAAAUUCACUACCAUCUGUUUUGUCAUUUUAAAGGAUUAAAACUUGAUUUGCUAAAUCCAUACCGGUUCGGGAAGCAAGCAUCACCAUAGUUGCAACCCCAACGCGAGGAGCCUAUCCUGAGAUUUCCAAUUUGCAUAAGAGCCAGAGCAUAGCUAUCCUAUCUUUGAGAAACUUGUUUUUACACCCUUUCAUUUUAGUCUUUAAUGUUAGCUUAGAUUAGUUUAAAUCUUUCUGAAAUAUUUACAUCUUCUUUUAAAGCUAACAUCCAUAAGAAAAUCACCUAUUUUCCUAAUUUGAAUAUCACUUGUGUUUGCGAAAACCCUUCCCAGUGAACGAUCCUAGAACCACUAUGCUAUAGUAGCUUGGCUACUUUAGUAAUAGUAUUUAAGGUAUAAAUUUUGUUGAUACACCUUUAAAGCUAAGCUACCAUGAGUCGCAUCAAUUGGGUUUUUAAAAAUCUUUUUUAACACAACAAAUUCAAGAACAAUAGAGGCAAAUAUAAAGAGAUAGAGUUAGAGAAAUCAAACUUAGAUUUUAUAGUAGUUCGGCACUUCCUUACCUACGUCCACUCUCCUCAAGCUCCUAACCAAGUGAGGGUUCCACUAACUUAAAGCUUCAAUGAUUCGACUCAUGGUAGCUUAGCUUUAAAGGCGUAUCAACAAAAUUUAUACCUUAAAUACUAUUACUAAAGUAGCCAAGCUACUAUAGCAUAGUGGUUCUAGGAUCGUUCACUGAAAAGAGUUUUCGCCAACACAAGUGAGAUUCCAAUUUCGAAAAUAGGUGAUUCUUUNNNNNNNNNNNNNNNNNNNNNNNNNNNNNNNNNNNNNNNNNNNNNNNNNNNNNNNNNNNNNNNNNNNNNNNNNNNNNNNNNNNNNNNNNNNNNNNNNNNNNNNNNNNNNNNNNNNNNNNNNNNNNNNNNNNNNNNNNNNNNNNNNNNNNNNNNNNNNNNNNNNNNNNNNNNNNNNNNNNNNNNNNNNNNNNNNNNNNNNNNNNNNNNNNNNNNNNNNNNNNNNNNNNNNNNNNNNNNNNNNNNNNNNNNNNNNNNNNNNNNNNNNNNNNNNNNNNNNNNNNNNNNNNNNNNNNNNNNNNNNNNNNNNNNNNNNNNNNNNNNNNNNNNNNNNNNNNNNNNNNNNNNNNNNNNNNNNNNNNNNNNNNNNNNNNNNNNNNNNNNNNNNNNNNNNNNNNNNNNNNNNNNNNNNNNNNNNNNNNNNNNNNNNNNNNNNNNNNNNNNNNNNNNNNNNNNNNNNNNNNNNNNNNNNNNNNNNNNNNNNNNNNNNNNNNNNNNNNNNNNNNNNNNNNNNNNNNNNNNNNNNNNNNNNNNNNNNNNNNNNNNNNNNNNNNNNNNNNNNNNNNNNNNNNNNNNNNNNNNNNNNNNNNNNNNNNNNNNNNNNNNNNNNNNNNNNNNNNNNNNNNNNNNNNNNNNAUCACUUGUGUAUGCGAAAACCCUUCUCAGUGAACGAUCCUUAAACCACUAUGCGAUAGAAGCGAGGAAUCUCUAGUAAUCGUAUUUAAGGCAUAAAUAUUGAAUAUACACCUUUUAAGCUAUAGGUUGCGUGACAUGGGAUCAAUUCAGUUUUUAAAUAUCUUUAGUCACCCAUCAAAUUCAAGAUCAAUAGAGGCAAAUAUAAAGAGAUAGAGUUAGAGAAAUCAAACUUAGAUUUUAUAGUAGUUCGGCACUUCCUUACCUACGUCCACUCUCCUCAAGCUCCUAACCAAGUGAGGGUUCCACUAACUUAAAGCUUCAAUGAUUCGACUCAUGGUAGCUUAGCUUUAAAGGCGUAUCAACAAAAUUUAUACCUUAAAUACUAUUACUAAAGUAGCCAAGCUACUAUAGCAUAGUGGUUCUAGGAUCGUUCACUGGGAAGGGUUUUCGCAAACACAAGUGAUAUUCAAAUUAGGAAAAUAAGUGAUUUUCUUAUGGAUGUUAGCUUUAAAAGAAAAUGUAAAUGUUUUAGAAAGAUUUAAACUAAUUUAAGCUAACAUUAAAGACUAAAAUGAAAGGGUGUAAAAACAAGUUUCUCAAAGAUAGGAUAGCUAUGCUCUGGCUCUUAUGCAAAUUGGAAAUCUCAGGAUAGGCUCCUCGCAUUGGGGUUGCAACUAUGGUGAUGCUUGCUUCCCGAACCGGUAUGGAUUUAGCAAAUCAAGUUUUAAUCCUUUAAAAUGGCAAAACAGAUGGUAGUGAAUUUCAUCAAUGGUUAUUCACCUUAGACUUCCUUUGAAUGGCUCGUAAGAGAUAACUAGUAGUCUAAAGCUAAAAGCUUACCAAAUAUUGGCAACUCAAAGUCAUUCCAGGUGAUAAACUCACCUUUCAAUGGCCAUUGAAAUUGGUUCUAAUGGAUUAAUGCAAAACUUGGAAUUGAAAACCUCACCUUCCAAUAGCUCGUAGGAGAUAACUAAUGGAUAGAAAUCCAAAAGCUUAUCAAGUAUUGGCCGUUGGAAGUUGUCAAAAGGAAAUAAAAACCAAACUUUGCAUUAAUGAACCAUUAAUGAAAAACGACUACCUUACCUUCCGGGUGCGAGAAAUUUCCAUGGGAUUGCAUCCAAGCCAUCACAUAACAUCCAUACUUUGAGAAACUAAAAGUUUUAGCCAAUCAUCCUCUGAGGAAAAGCCCUCAGAGGCUGUUUGGCUUCCAAGAAAAUAAAAUAUUAAAGAGAAAAGAGAAAAGAGAGAGCUCUGUAUCUAUUCUCUAAGUGUUAAACGUAAUAUCUAUUCUAUAUGUGUUCCAAGAGGUGAUUUCCACCCCUUAUAUAGUCUUUACAAAAGCAAAAGCUUGUGAUUGGUUAGUGAUUACUACCAAAAAGUGCUAUUUUGUAGACCUAAUUAUAAUGGUUUUAAGCACCUUUGAGUAGUAAUCAUAUUCAUUUAACCCAAUUAAUUCAUUAAGGUCCUUAGUAAUUGGUUUUAACCAUUUUGUGGCAAGUUUACAUGUUUUUAUCAGCUUAUGAAUGAAUUCAAGCAUGCCAAAUGAUGGAGGAGCUACUUGGACAAGUUAUGGAAAAGCUUUUGGAAGCUCAAAUUCAUGAAGAACCAAGCUUUGGAGCUCCAUAGCCCUUUGCCAAAGUCGUUCAAAGUAUGCAAGGAAAGAACAAUGGAGAAGAGGAAAGCAAAGUGAAAAAAUCAGAGGACAGCAGCUGCAGUAUUCUUUCGCACUUUUGGAGCACUUCCCGAAGUUAAUUUUCUACAUACUAUAUUCCAUUUCAAAGCUCUGGAAGUCAAGAAUCCAACGCUUCAAACCGUGCACGAUUUGGAGUUGAAAUGAGGAAGAUAUGGCUUUCGGAAGCCAACUGCUCCAGGUUAUGCGAAAAUUUCGCAUAACACCUUCAAAAUUCGCAUAACCCAUGCGUGUUGCGAAUUUUCCUCUGCUNNNNNNNNNNNNNNNNNNNNNNNNNNNNNNNNNNNNNNNNNNNNNNNNNNNNNNNNNNNNNNNNNNNNNNNNNNNNNNNNNNNNNNNNNNNNNNNNNNNNNNNNNNNNNNNNNNNNNNNNNNNNNNNNNNNNNNNNNNNNNNNNNNNNNNNNNNNNNNNNNNNNNNNNNNNNNNNNNNNNNNNNNNNNNNNNNNNNNNNNNNNNNNNNNNNNNNNNNNNNNNNNNNNCUAUCCAUUAGUUAUCUCCUACGAGCUGUUGGAAGGUGAGGUUUUCAAUUCCAAGUUUUGCAUUAAUCCAUUAGAACCAAUUUCAAUGGCCAUUGAAAGGUGAGUUUAUCACCUGGAAUGACUUUGAGUUGCCAAUAUUUGGUAAGCUUUUAGCUUUAGACUACUAGUUAUCUCUUACGAACCAUUCAAAGGAAGUCUAAGGUGAAUAACCAUUGAUGAAAUUCACUACCAUCUGUUUUGCCAUUUUAAAGGAUUAAAACUUGAUUUGCUAAAUCCAUACCGGUUCGGGAAGCAAGCAUCACCAUAGUUGCAACCCCAACGCGAGGAGCCUAUCCUGAGAUUUCCAAUUUGCAUAAGAGCCAGAGCAUAGCUAUCCUAUCUUUGAGAAACUUGUUUUUACACCCUUUCAUUUUAGUCUUUAAUGUUAGCUUAGAUUAGUUUAAAUCUUUCUGAAAUAUUUACAUCUUCUUUUAAAGCUAACAUCCAUAAGAAAAUCACCUAUUUUCCUAAUUUGAAUAUCACUUGUGUUUGCGAAAACCCUUCCCAGUGAACGAUCCUAGAACCACUAUGCUAUAGUAGCUUGACUACUUUAGUAAUAGUAUUUAAGGUAUAAAUUUUGUUGAUACGCCUUUAAAGCUAAGCUACCAUGAGUCGCAUCAGUUAGUUACAAGGAUAAGAAAUGAAAUUACAUCAAAAAAUACAUCGGAAGAUAUCUAAAGUGGAGUCGGCAAAAACAGAGGAAAAUUCGCACCACGCAUGGGUUGUGCGAAUUUGGAAGGUGUUGUGCGAAAUUUUCGCACAAGCCUGGAGCAGUUGUCUUCCGAAGGCCAUAUCUUCCUCAUUUCAGCUCCAAAUCGUACACAGUUUGAAGUUUUGGAUUCUUGACUUCCUGAUCUUUGAAAUGGUAUAUAGCAUGUAGAAAAUGGACUUCGGGAAGUGCUCCAAAAGUGCGAAAGAAUACUACAGCUGCUGUUCUCUGUUUUCCUCUUCUCCAUUGUUCUUUCCUUGCAUACUUUGAACGACUUUGGCAAAGGGCUAUGGAGCUCCAAAGCUUGGUUCUUCAUGAAUUUUAGCUUCCAAAAGCUUUGCCAUAACUUUUCCAAGUAGUUCCUCCAUCAUUUGGCAUGCUUGAAUUGAUUCAUAAGCUAAUAAAAACAUGUAAACUUGCCACAAAAUGGUUAAAACCAAUUACUAAGGACCUUAAUGAAUUAAUUGGGUUAAAUGAAUAUGAUUACUACUCAAAGGUGCUUAAAACCAUUAUAAUUAGGUCUACAAAAUAGCACUUUUUGGUAGUAAUCAUUCAACCAAACUUCUAAUCACCUUUACACUUGGAUUACAGCUCCAAUGGGCUCUUACACAAUCUCUUCAAGAUUCACUCACUUGAAGGCUUUAACACUUAAUUAACAAGAAUGAACUUCUCUCAACCUAGCUCAAUAAUAGCUCAAUAAUAGCUCAAAUACAAAUCAAAGGCUAGGAUGAAUCACAAAGGUGCACAAAAGGAUAUGCAAGUGAAGAUUUAAUGCACCAAGAAAGAAAUGACAGCUUUGAAGACAAGAACAAGUGGGUAGACAAAUAAAUGCAAGUGUUCUCUAUCUUAUUAAUGAAGUGGAGCUCUCUAUUUAAAGGUUUCUAACCUCGGGAGCCAAGAAAAUCAAAAAACAACCUCAACCAGUUGAGUCGGGGGUCGACCAGUUCACUAGCCAUUAGAGCAUUUAAUGUUUUGGCAGGUUACCGUUGCUUCAACCAAACUUCAAUCAGACCUCGACUGGAGGUCGACCGGGAAAGGAAGGCUACUGGAAGAGAGAGUGUGUUUUUGCACUCCUUGAUCGGACCUCAACUGGGCAAAAGGAACUUGUCGACCGGUACCCUAGUCAAUUGAGCCGGUUGGCCCAGUGUCUCGACCGAUUCAACAUUUUAGCACCAAAAACCUUUUUUUUUUUUUUUUUUGUUAUUUUAUCAUCUAACUCUUGGACAAAGUCUUUAGGUAAAUUAAUAUGCCAAUUUUGAAACAUUUUCCUUAAGGUUCAUUUGAUAAAACUUGGGUUUUAAUGAAAUUGUAACUUUAAAGAAUAAACCGAGUUUUCCAAAAAUGCAUGAAAUGAUCUGUAAAACCUAAGUGCACCCAUGCAUUCAUCUUACAUUUGUUUUCUAUUAUUAAAGGUCUUCCAAGUGUCUUGAUUUUGUAUCCAUUAGGUGCUUUGAUGAAUUUCCAAAUUAAUACCUGAGAUUCUUUACGAUUCAAACCAAUUAGUAACUUAACCAUGGUUUGUUAUCAUCAAAACCUGAUUAGUAGAACCCUUGGCUAACAAUCUCCCAUUUUUUUAUGAUGACAAACCUUGGUUAUCUAGGAGAAAAAGAAUCUCCCCCUCAAAUCAAUCAUGGAUCAAUCAAUCAAAAUUUAUGAAGUUAAAACCAAAAUAAUCAAGACAUGCUAGAGAGAAUGAAUUGACAAUAAGAAAAUAGUAUAAGUCAUGAAGCAUAUCAUAUAUAAGUCAAAUGUACACGAAACAUAUAAGCCUAUCACAUAUACGAUCCAAACAAGUGAUAUGACAAUGAUAUGCAUGUAAGUCUCCUAGAUCCUAAAUAUCUCCCUUUUUUGGCAACAUAAAAAAGAAACAAAUGGGGUCUCUAUGCAAUCAAGGCUAAGGAGAUGGAAGUGGAAACACGGAGCGUAGAUAAGCCAUCAUCUACUCAUGUUGACUCUCCAGGCUACCCUCAAUGCACUCAAUCCUCUACUGGAAAUGCUCAAAUGCAGCCUAAUAUUGAUCCAUGCGAGCCUCGAGACUCUCAAACCAUAAGGUGAAGCCAUCCUUCUAUUGAUCCAUGCGAUCCUCCAUAGGCUCAAAUCUCUGUUGCAGAUACUCAAUCUGAGAGGUGAAUCCAGUCUGAUACUGAUCCAUGCGAUUCUCCAUGGAGUAGAACCGAGUAUCACUUACUACAGCAAGCCCCUCCAUGUGAGUGCCUAGAGAGCUAAUUUGAGCAGAUUAGCUUUGAAUAUAAAAAUAUAUUCACCUAUAAUAAUUAAUAAUCUAAUAAAUAAAUACUAACAUUUUAAAUAAUAUUGAUUUCAAAUAUAUAUAAUAUUUUAUUAUGUUUUGUAUUCGUAAUAUUUUUAUAUUUAGAAUAUUUACAGUUUUCAUAUCAUAGAUCUCAUAUUUACAGUUUUCAUAUCAUAGAUCUCAUUUUCUACAUUUAUUUUAUUUUUAUUUUUAUUUUUAUUUUUUUAUAUAAUAUUAAACAUGAAUUAAAAAUAAAUAAAAAACUAUCCACGUGUUUAAAACUAAAUCUUUUGGCUUUUAAAAGGUAAACACGGAAAAAUAGUAUAAAAAAUAUUAACUUACCUUUAAUUUCAUUCAAUAAAAAAUUAGUAAUGAUCAUUCUUUAAGAGUAUUUAAUUUUAAAAGUAAUAUUUGAAGGUAUGUAAAAUUAAAAUUUUAAAAGUGUUUAUAUUAAAUUUUUGAAUAAAUUCACAAUUUCCAUCAUAAUACAUUGAUAUUUACAAAUAACCAAAAAAGAAAACUAAUGUUUUUAUUAAAUAUGUAAUUUAUAUAUAUAUAUAUAUAUAAUUAAAAAUUUAAACCAUUAAAAUUGUCUUUAUUUUUCAUGUAUAAUUUUUUUUUUAAAGUAUAUUAUAAUAGACCCCUCUUGUGGACCAAGGGGUAUUGUUGGCCACCCGGGAGAACUGGGCAUUUUUUUGGGGGGGAUGACCUCCAUGGGAGCAAGCCACUGAGACUUGUGGCAAGGACAUGACCACCUUGCCAUAGUGGUGGUUGAGGAUGGAGACCUUUUUGUUGAAGGAUGAGCAGUGGAAUGAGUAAAAUCUUAUAGGAAAAGAAAGAGGCAAGAUAGAAAAAAAAAACAGGGGAAUGAGGUUUUCAGUAGGUAGAGCUUUUUGGGAGAAGGUGAGGGAGGAGGAUCGAAUAAGCAGGGGAAAGUUUUUGCUGAGUUGGGAGAAGCUAUGCAAUCAAGUUCUUGAAACCGAGCAAUCCUUGUUCGAGUUGGAGUUAUUCGGGUGCAGUCACUGCAUGCUCUGUUGUCCCAUUUUUGCACCAUUUUGCUCUAUAUCUUGUUGAUGUUUGGGUUUGUUUCCGAUGAUUGGGAGUGGACAUUAUAAAUCAUACAUAUCUAAGAUCAUUUGCAUACACUUUUUGUUUGGUUUUUCGGUUUUUAUAGAAUCUGAAAUCAUACUCUGUUUCUUUGCUUUGUUUUGGUUUAUCUGUAAUAUGCCUGAAACCAUUUGUUUUUCUUUUUUUCUAUUUAUAUUUAGUGUUUAUUUUGGUCACUCACAAUCAGUUUACAAGCUCAUUGACAAACUAUGAAAUGGUGCAAGGUUUAAUGGUCUUUGGUUUGUUUAUGUAUGCUUUGUUUUGGUCUUUGUUGUGUUUGGGGGAGUAUCCCAGCCAUCUUGGUUGGGAUGUUCCUAAGAAAACCCCGUGUAUACCACUUUUCACACAGACGAAAACUCUUGGAUGCUUGUGUUGCCAUGUAACCCACACACCAAGGCCUUCACAUCUUCCCCUCGCGAGUUCCUUUUUAGAUUUGUUGGAAUUCAGUGAUGGGCAUGGUGAAGAGGAAGUCAUUCAGUAGUUAUAAAAGGAUAAUGCAAGCCAUUUCAACAUCAUUAGUGCAAUCUAGAAAGGUGGUAACAUGGGAAAGAGGCAUAUCUGGUCAACUGGGUCACGAGGAAUGGGUGAGAGAAAGAUAGCUGCAGGAAGGGAGGUAGCAACUCAUAAAUGGUGGAAAGGGAGAGCAAAUGGUGGGGGUUGUGAUUUUGUGAUUCUGUAGGAAAGGAGAGCACAAAUACAAAGAGAGUGUAGAGAGGAGGCACAGGCACAGGUAAAGGCAAAAGCAUGGAGAUGGUUCAGAUGCAGAGAAGGUUUGUGGAGUAUGCAACAUCCUUACUUCAUGAGGGGUUCUUAGAUGGUCAGUUCACACAGCUUUAGCAACUACAAGAUGAGAGCAACCCUGAUUUUGUGGUUGAAGUGGUGUCUCUCUUCUUUUAGGAUUCUGAUAAGCUUCUCAAUGAUCUACCCAUAGCCCUAGAUCAGCAAAAUGUAGAUUUUAAGAGGGUUGAUUCCCAUGUUCAUCAGUUGAAGGGCAGCAGCUCUAGCAUAGGACCACAGAGAGUAAAAAAUGUUUGUAUUGCCUUUCGCAACUACUGUGAGGAACAGAACACUGACGCGUGCUUGAGCUGCCUACAGCAAGUGAAACAAGAGUACUCCCUUAUUAAGAGUACGCUUGAAACUCUCUUCAGGUUGGAGCAACAAAUUUUGAUAGCUAGUGGGUCGAUACUGAUAGGUGGUCCCAGUCAAAGCUAUAAAGAAAAGAAGAAAAAAAAAGGAUCUUUAAAAUAAUAUUUUGCUUAAGGUGAGAAUGAACCUUGUGAUUUAUUAUCUGGCGUCCCCUUGUUCUCCAUGGCUAAAAUGAUUAAAUACAUAAAGGACUCAACUGCUCCACUAAACAAAAGGAGUGAACGGCUAGUGGACAAUAAAAUAGCCAACAAUGGUGGAAUUGUUCUUUCCACUUAUUGACCAAUUCCUAUGCAAACAAAAUAACAUAAUAACAACUUAUUGACCAUUGACCGAUUCCUAUGUUGCAAACAAAAUAACAUCAUAAUCUACCAUCCCAUGGUCCCAUGCUCAACUUCUGUACCUUGGAUUCUUGAUAGGCACUCGAGUUGAUCUUCUUAACUUAUGAUUGCCCCCUUCUUUCAGUCGAACCUUGUCCUCAAGGUUCAAGUUAAUAUACUUGUUGCGCAACUCCUAGGUAUUUUCCCACGUAGCAUCUUCUUUUGGAAGCUUUUUCCACUGGACAAGGCUUUUUUCAACAAAACUUGACCCUUUAUUAACCCACCUAGUAUCCAAAAUAGCUUCGGGUUCCAUAAUAAUCUCACCAUCAUUAGUUAGGGGCGGCAAAGUGUUUGUGGCCUUAGUCUCCUCUACCUGCCUUUUAAGCAGUGAAACAUGAAAAACAGGGUGAAUUCGGGAACCUUUAGGCAACUUGAGUUUGUAAGCUACCUUUCCAACAUUUUCUUCAAUGUGGUAUGGGCCAUAAAAGCGACUGGCCAACUUUUGAUGCGCCUUCCUAUAGACAGUUUGCCGACAAUAAGGAUGGAGUUUAAGGAAGACCAAAUCCCCCACUUGGAAUUCCAUGUCCCUUCUUUUUUAAUCUGCCACUUGUUUCAUUCGAUUAACUGCUGCAUGUAAAUUGAUCUUGAGCUAUUGUAAAAUGGCAUUUCGAGAUACCAAUGUCUGGUCCACCUCAUUCAUAGAAGAUGCUCCAACUUGAUAGUUCAGAAUACUUGGUGGUGGUCUUCCAUAGAGAGCUUGAAAAUGGGUCAUCCCAAUAGAGGAGUGGUAUGUAGUGUUGUACCAAAAUUCAGCCCAUGGAAGAAAAGCACUCCAUUUUCAAGGUUGUUGAGAAACAAAACAGUGAAGAUAUUGCUCAACGCACCUGUUAACUACCUCAGAUUGACCGUCGAUUUAGGGAUGAUAGGCAGAGCUCAUGUGCAGCUUAGUACCCAACAUUUUGAAGAAUUCACACCAAAAGUGACUUAUGAAAAUGGGAUCUCUGUCACUAAUAAUUGAUUUUGGCAAGCCAUGAAGCUUGACAAUCCCUUCCACAAAUUUUUUAGCUACCAUUUUUGCCGUGUAAGGAUGUGACAAAGCUAAAAAAUGAGUUGAUUUACUCAGGCAGUCCACUACCAUAAAAAUAGUGCUUUUUCCAUUAGAUGGUGGUAAUCCCUCAAUAAAAUCCAUGGUGAUGUUGUCCUAAACUUGGAAAAGAAUGGGCAAUGGUUGAAGAAGACCAGCUAGAGAUAAAGUUUCUGUUUUAUUCUUUUGGAAAACAGUGCAUGAGGUUACAUAUUGUUGAAUCACCUUAUGCAUUGAUGGCCAAUAGAAUUGUUGUGUCAAUCGCUUGUAUGUUCUCAAUACCCCAGAAUGUCUUUCAUAUGGUGAGUCAUGGAAUUCCUGCAAUAACUGAUUGAAAAGUUGGGAAUUAGGAGGAAUUACUACACGAUUUUUGUAACAUACCAAACCAUUCUGCCACUUAUAGGGUGCUCCAGGAUUUGCAGUGGCAAGCUUGCCAAUUCGGACCAUGUAGGGAUGCUUGUUGGCUUCCUUCUUGAUUGCGUUCCACAAAGAUGUUAGAGAGAUAAAAAGAGUAUUAAGGUUGGGGUUGCCUAUUACUCUUGAUAAAGCAUCAGCAACAAAAUUCUCUCUUUCCGGUUUGUAAGUGAUCUCAUAGUCAUACCCCCCAGCAAUUUGGAUACCCACUUUUGUUGUUCUUGCGUCACUAUGCGUUGCUCCAUUAAAUACUUGAGGUUGUGUUGGUCAAUUUGGAUGUAGAAUUUUUAGCAUAAUAAGUAAGGCCACCAAGUCCGAAUAGCUUGAACAAUGGCAAGCAUUUCUUUGGCAUAGGUAGACCAUGAUUGCUUAGUGAUUCCCAAGGCUCGACUCAUGAAUGCUAUGGGUCUCCCUUGUUAAGUUAGCACUGCUCCAAUGCCAGCACCUGAAGCAUCAGAUUCAAUGACAAAUGGUUCAUUAAAAUUAGGCAUAGUAAGGGUAGGAGUAGAAGUCAUUGUUUGUUUCAAAGCCUUGAAUGCAUCCUUUGCUUCUUCUGUCCAUCUAAAUUGCCCAUUUUUUAAGAGGUUGGUGAGUGGCCGAGCUAUAAUUCCAUAAUUGCGUACGAACUUUCUGUAAUAACCUAUAAGGCCUAAGAAUCCUCGCAAGUCAGAAACAUUAGUGGGUCUAGGCCAAUUAAGCAUAGCCUUAAUUUUCCCUUGGUCCACCUUGACACUUUGUGGAGUUACAACGUAACCCAAAUAUUCAACUUCUUGCUGGCCGAAAGCACACUUGCCAAGCUUGAUGAAAAAUUUGUGAUGCCUUAAUAUUUCAAAAGCCUUUUUAACAUGUUCAAUAUGCAUGAUCCAAUUGGGGUUUUAAAUUAGAAUAUCAUAAAAAAAAAAAAUAACAAAUUUUAGAAGAUAUGGCCGAAAUAUUGAAUUCAUAGUAGCCGGAAAAGUUGAAGGAGCAUUACACAAGCCAAAAGGCAUAACCACAUAUUCAUAAGGACCAUUGUGUGUACGAAAGGCAUUUUUGUGAAUGUCUAAUGGGUGUACCCAUACCUGGUGAUAACCUGAUCAGAGAUCAAGGUUAGUAAAAAAAGGUUACCCCAUAUAGUUCGUCAGGCAUAUCAUCAACGGUUGGAAUAAGAAAUCUAUCCUUGAUGGUUAUAGCAUUAAGAGCUCUAUACUCAAUACAAAAAUGCCAAGUUCCAUCUUUUUUUUUUACUAACAGAACAGGUGAAGAGAAUGGACUUGUGUUAGACCUUAUUAGCCCCAAUUUUAACAUGUCAUGAACUUGUUUUUCUAUUUCAGCUUUUUGAAAGUAGGCAUACCUAUAUGACCGGACAUUAAUUGGCUCAGUCCCCUAUAUGAGAUUGAUGUGGUGAUCUAUCUCCCUUUCUAGUGGAAGCUUCUUUGGUUCCUGAUAAAUGUCAUCCAAUUCUUGUAACAACUGUUGCAUUUCUAGUUGAAUUCUUUGAGGCACUUCUUCCAUGGUUGCAUGUAAACAGACGGCGAAUAUGGAGUUUCCCUGCUUUAUCUCUUUUGAAAUUGUUGUGAAUUUCGUAGGCUGAAUUGGUUGGUUGUCAAUUCUUUCUAGUUGAUGACGCUGGUCCUUCCACGAAAACUCUAUUGUCAUUAUUUUCUAAUCACAAACCACCAUGCCCAAUUGUUCAAGCCAGUAGACUCCUAACACCAUAUCCAACCCAAUCAGCGGUAAUGAAUAAAGAGUUAAGGUAGAUGGAAUACCUUGCAAUAGGACUGAAACAUUUUCAAAUCUCUCUUGGCACUUUAGAGGAUCACCAUUAGCCACUUUCACGUUAAAGGGUUCAAUUGGCACCAUCGGUAAUUGCAAUAGUUCAGCUAUCCUCUCAUUGAUGAAAUUGUGGGUUAACCCACUAUCAAUAAGAACAAUCAAUUCAUGGGGUCCCACUUUAGCCGAGACUCGCAUGGUUCUGGCUGUUGACCACCCAGUGAGAGCAUGGAGUGAAAUUUCAGGUUCUCCUUGAAGGUGGGUGUGAGCUUCCUCUUCGUCAUAGUUUUCUUCAAGCAAGAGCAGUUGUAGUCCUUUGCAUUUGUGCCCUGGUGCAAAUUUCUCAUCGCAAUUAAAACAAAGGCCUUGAGCACGCCUCCUCUGCAUCUCAACCCAAGUGAGUCAUUUUAUUGGUGAAAGGGUCUUCAUUUUCAUUGAAGAAGAGCCAAUAGUGGUCCUACUAAAUGGACGUGUAGUCGUCUCAUGAUAGUUCAACUACUCAUCUCGCAUCCUAGCCAAACUGAUGGCUUCCUUCGAGGAUUUUGGCUUAAACAUCCGAAUCCCAUCUGCUAUUUCAGUUUUAAGACCUCCCAUAAAUGUGCCAACCAAUGCCUUUUGAGUUCACCCCUGAACUCUAUUCCCCAAUCUCUUAAAUUCCCUUUGGUACUCACGUAAGGAUCCCGUUUGUCUUAUUUUUUAUAAAGACUCGUCAAAGUCUUCACAAUCUGUUGGACCAAAGUGAGACCAUAAUUCCUUUACAAAAAUGUCCCACGUCACCUCUUUCCCUUCCUCAUGAUAAGCCCUGCGCAACCACUACCACCAUUGAUUUACCUCCCAUUCCAAAUGAAAGGAAGCCAAAGACACCUUGUGUUUCCAAAGUGCCCUGGUAUUCAAAGAAUUGGUCGACACACGUAAACCAUUAUGUUGGGUCAUCACCAGAAUACUUGGGAAAUUCAAGCUUGGCCAACUUAGAGGAAAACAUUGGUCGUCCCCUUUUUGUGUUUUCACGAGAACGGCCAUAAGAAGAUUGUCCGCUGCGUUCAUUGACGUUGCUAGAGGUUGGUUCUUGCCUUGUACUCAAAACUUCAGAGAUCUUACUGAUAGCAUUCUCUAGCUGAUGUAGUUUGUCAUUAACACCCAGCUCCAUUAUUCUCAAAUUAGCUUGAAGCCCCCCAAGACCCACUUCUAAAUUCUCGAUUCUUUCUUUGUUAAUGGCCAUAAUGUAUAGCUCUUAUACCACUGAUAGGUGGUCCCAGUCAAAGCUAUAAAGAAAAAAAAAAUUCUUUAAAAUAAUAUUCUGCUUGAGGUGAGAAUGAACCUUGUGAUUUUAUUAUCUAUCGUCCCUUUAUCCUCCAUGGCUAAAAUGAUUAAAAUACAUAAAGAACUCAACUACUCCACUAAACAAAAGGAGUGAACGACUAGUGGACAAUAAAAUGACCAACAAUAGUGGAAUUAUUCUUUCCACUUAUUGAUCGAUUCCUAUGCAAACAAAAUAACAUAAUAACAACUUAUUGACCAUUGACUGAUUCCUAUGCUGCAAACAAAAUAACAUCAUAAUCUACCAGCCCAUGGUCCCAUGCUCAACCCCUAUACCUUGGAUUCUUAAUAGGCACUCGAGUUGAUCUUCUUAGCUUAUCAUAUACCAAUAAUGAUGGAAUGAAUGAAUUUAAGGUUUUUAGGAUUAGGGAAUGCGAGAAAAUGGGUGGGGUGUCGUUAGGCGUGGGCAUGCAGCACCACGUAGCGGACAGUAAGUCUUAGUUUCUGCUCAUCUCAGGGACCCAAAAUGAUGGAUGACAUCAAGAAGACAUUUCAUGCAGAUGUUUUGGGCUGAGAGCUAUAGACAAAUAUUCCGCAUAAGUCUCCUAGACGUAGCCUUGCAUCCAAAUCCUGGGUAGAUUAUCUUCCUUUGACAAAGAGGGGCAAGGGUGGUUCCAAAAUUGACCCAACAAAUGUGGGAUGCCAAGAACAUAAUGCAUGUUGCUGAUCCAUGACAUGGCCACUAGCUGACAGCCUCAACGUUGUUCCGUGGCAAGAUGAGCAGCUAAAGGAGGCCUUGGAAUUGUUUGAGAUAAUGCGAUAGUAGGAAAAUCCAUUAUAAUAAGCCAAUGGGUUUGCAGAUGUGUCAAAGGCAUAGCAUGUGAUCCCAACAUUGGCACAAAUAAUGGUAAGCUAUAUGAAUAGAUUGCAAAGGCUGAAGUACCGUUGAUGAUCCAUUCAAGGCAGGCAUUGAAUAAGGUCCCCAGAUUGCACUUUCUUGGUUUGAUUAGUAUGGAACCUUAAAAAAUGGGCAGAUGUUUCUAAGGAAUGAUGCACGAAAAACCACCUUAUAAGGACUGAUGAGCAGGAUACACUAGGGGCUUUGUUUUUCCUACUCUACCACCUACACCUUGCACCCCAGAUCCACACUCGUGCAUGGUCACUUCUGGCAUGCAAUCCCGACGGCCACAUGUCAUCCUCUCGUUUCUUUUAUCUUUUGAUGUUGAAAAUUUAUUUUAAUUUUUAAAAAUUCCAUUUUCAAAAUUCUAAUUUUCAAAAUUUUCAUUUUCAAAUAAUUUUCCAAAUUUCUAAUUUUCAAAUUUAAUUGUCAAAAUUUCCAUUUUCAAAUAAUUUUCCAAAAUUCCAAUUUUCAAUACUUCCAUUCUCGAAUAAUUUUCCAAAAUUCCAAUUUUCAAAACUUCCAUUUUCAAAUAAUUUUUCAAAACUUUCAUUUUCAAAUAAUUUUUCAAAAUUCAAAUUUGCAAAUUUAAUAUUUAAGAAAUCUUAUUCUCAAAUAAUUCUUCAAAAUUCCAAUUUUCAAAACUUCAAUUCUCAAAUAAUUUUCCAAAAUUCCUAUUUUCAAAUUUAAUUUUUAAAACUUCUAUUUUCAAAUAAUUUUUCAAAAUUCCAAUUCUCAAUUUUAAUUUUCAAAACUCCUAUUUUCAAAUAAUUUUUCAAAAUUGCAAUUCUCAAAUUUAAUUUUCAAAACUCUCAUUUUCAAAUAAUUUUUCAAAUUUCCAAUUUUUAAAUUUAAUUUUCAAGAUUUUAAUUUUCAAAACUUUAGGUUUCUUUCAAAUAAUUUUAAUUCUACUCCAGUUUUCAAAUAUUUUUAAUUCUACAACUUAUCAUCCUCCUUAAGGAUUAAGGUCACUAAAAAUCCCGUUUUUAAAUAACCUUGCUACAUUUCUCUUCAUGUAAGCACUUUCACAAAUUUUCUUUGAUUUUCAAAUAAUAUUUUAUUUAUUUUGAUUUUAAAUAAGUAUGAAUAUAAUUUUCAUAAUUCCAAAACAAUGGAAUUUGUGAGAUCAAUUCAUGCAAAAUCAAUUGGGCUUUGGUGAGGGUCUUAUAUAUGAGUUUUCUCUUCUAAUUGUCAACUAUUAUGCUUAAUGAAUAUUGUUUGACCUUUGUCUUACUUUUUGAUAUGCCUAUGAUAAUUUUAUACUUGAUCUUACUUUAUUUCUAUGAUAGCGCACUAUUACUUGUUGCUAAGGUGCGAUCUCAUUCUCACUUUGCUUAUUCUUAUGCAUGAUUCAUUUUAUUAUUCGAUCAUUUCAUUGAUAUCCAUUGAUUUCCUUAUCAAUUGUUACACUUGCUUCACCUUAUUUAGUAGAGAUCCGCUUUUAGGAACUUAGAGCGGUGCUAUGGUCUUUUUACUAUACCUUCCCAAUAAGUAACCUAACCCCCGAACUCGACUUUGGUUUUCCACAUAUUGUCUUUUCCAAAUAAGGAGUCACACUUAGGGUUUUCUUUCUUAUUUUACUUUCCCUUAAAAAAAUAAAACAAAAAUAAGUGGCGACUCUAAGUCUUUUUCAAAAAAUCAAAAUUUUCACAAAUAAAAAGUGAGUCUCAUCAUCAAGUGGGAACACAUUGAGCAAAAUGUGAGGUCCACAAUUAUGUAUACUUUUUAUCAUAUUAUUUAAUAAUUGUUGUCAAAGUAACAGCAAUGACAAUAAAAACUAAAUAACUAGUACAUCUUACUAUCUAUAAUGGUACUUUUAGUUACUAAUAUUGUUACUUUUAAAUAAAAACAACAUUAUUAUCUUCAAUGACAUGUUUAAUAUAAAAACUGAAGUAGUGAUGAAUGAUGAAUAUGAUAGUACAUCCUGCAAUCUACAAUAGUACUUUUAGUUACUAACAUUGUUACAUUUUAGGUAAAACUAAUGUUAAUCUCUCAAGUGGCAUAUUUGAUCUAAAGGUUGAAAGUAAUGGGUGAUGUGAUAGCUACGUACCUAGGGUACAAUCAAGUGUACCUAUUAGCUUAUCUUGUAUAGGUGGUAGCCCAUCUUCAACUAGUUGAAGGGUAGUCUUGAAAGCAUGCACAAAUUACUAUUCUAGUACAUGAUUUAUUAAUUAUUUUUUCCAUAAUAUACUUUCCGUGAAACCCACCUUUUUAGGUUAUGAAUUCAUCCAUAUUUUUCAAACUAUACACCUUGAUAUGAUUCCACCUAAAGAAAUAUAUACAUCAUAUUUAAGUUGAAUUGUUCACACAUUUGCCCUAUUUUUGGUGUGUGAUUUCACUUAUAUUGGCCUUAGGAUAUAUUUCAGGCUUUCCCUUACCUCUUUUCACAACGGAGAACCUUGUGUACAUCCCUUAUAAAAUAUGUACAUCAUGUAUAAAUGCGAAAACCCAUAUCCAAAAUAGGCCAAAUGAGUAAAGUACAUGUGAUAUACUUGUUUUUAGAUGGGAUUUACUUGUUUUUUUAAAUGGGAUGCACCUAUUUUGGUAAUAAUGUUCAAGUAUAAAGCGUGUCAAGCGAGAGAUGUGAGCAUCAUAAAUGCAUACCUAGGAAGUGGAAUACAAUUUACUUAUUUUUUUUAUAAAGAGGAUGCAUUCCUACGUACUUUUGAAGUGGAUACACUUAUUUUUCAACAUGGUGUCUUUAUUUUUGCAAGGGUGAUAUAAAUUUUAGUGAUAGUGUCAUCUAAAUUUUAAUCAUCUCUAAAUAUUUUAUUUCACAAAGGUGUGUGACGAACUUUAUUAAUAUAUUACUUCUAAAUUUAUAUUGAGAUCAUCAAUUAUAUUAAAUAAAAAUAUACUAUUCAACAUAAAAAUUUCUAAAGCCAUAUAUUGAACCUUAAGAAAAAAAAUAGAACCUAUUUCUAACAUGCAUUUUAAUUAUCACUAUGAGAUUAUGGAAAAUAUGCAUGACUUUUAAAAUUUAAAAUAAUAAGAAUAGAAAGAAAUUUAAUGACAAAAAAAUGUUAUUUAUAGAUUAUAUAAAAAAUAGAGGAAAAUAAAAUACUAAUUUUUAUUCAUAAAAAAUUAGAAAAGAAAAUUAGUUUUUCCAAUUGAAUUACUUGUUUUUCAAUAGAUAAUAAUAAUAAUAAUAAUAAUUUUUUUUUUACUCAAGUGUUUAUAUACUUUUUUAUUCCUAAAAAUUAUAAAUUGAAUAUUUAAAAAAGCUAAGAAACUUAAUUUUUUUUUCUAUUGUAUUGUAUGUUAUAUUUAAUUUGUACUUAUUGAUUAUCUAUAUUAUCAUUUUGUACUUAUUGUAUUAGGAAAACAAUUAAAAACCAAUAAAUGUGAAAAGAUAAAAUCUUAAAAAAUUGAAAUUUAAAAAAAUUAGAAGAAAAACUUUAGUUACUUCAAUAUAUUAAGAGAAAAGGUAUCAUGAUGUGAUGUGAGAGAAAAAAAUACAAAAAGAAUACGAUGUACAAGGAUAAAAAAAAAAGUGAGAGAAAAAAAUACAAAAAGAAUACGAUGUACAAGGAUAAAAAAAAAAAAGGAAAAGACACUCAUUUCUUUAAUUUCUUUUUAAUUAAAAAAUGUACUUUUUUUCAUGUCACAUAAAAAAUUUAAAAUAUUAAGAAUUUAAAAAAGAAUAAUUAUCAAAUUUUUAUUUAAUUACUAUUCAAGUGUAUGUCGAGAAAAUAAUUUUAACCACUUUGUGUUUGACAUAAAAGGUAACCGUUGAAGUUCUUAAAAAUAAUUUUAAAUAUCAUUCUCCCUAAAUGACAUUAGAAUGUGUGAUAUUCGUGAUUAAGAAUCUUAUCUGAAUAUUUAAAAGAAAUUAUAUGUAACCUUCAAAAAUGAAACCUCAAAGAGCUUACUGCUAUUUCUUUUAGAGGUCAAAUAGUAUAAUUAAAGACAUGCUAAAUUAUAAGGGAAAUUUUAGGACACAAUUGUUGAAAGCAAGAACUAUAAAGCUAUGAACUCACACAAAUCUGGAAUAACAUCCCUAGUUUUAUUGAACACUUACUGGUGGCUUAUAUAGCCUUACAAGAUAAGAAAUUAGAAAAACAUUGCAGCCCACGUCUUAUACCUAAAGACAUGGUAUUAGUUACUGAAAGAGUCAAAACCUAUCUACUGGUUCCUAACUAAUAGGAACUUAUUAACAGAAUUUUGACAAAGCCAAACCUUAACAGAAACAAAUAAAUCCCAACAAUAAUUCCUCCCCUAAACUGAAGUAGUAUGCAUUCAGUUUAAGUUUGGUACCUCACAUACCCCAAGCUUCUCACGCAACUUCAAGAACACUUCAAGCUUCAGUGGCUUUGUCAAGAUAUCAGCCACUUGAUCAUUGGUUCCACAAUGAACCAACUUCACCACUUCCUCCUUAGUGAGAUCCCUCAAGAAGUGGAACCUCACAUCUAUAUGCCUGCUCCUACCAUGCAUAACCGGAUUCUUGGAUAGCUUGAUUGUUAAACUGUUGUCACACAUAAUAGUAGUACACUUACUCUAUGAGUGCCCAAUCCUUUCUAACACUCUCCUCAUCCAUAUACAUUGACAAGCAUAGAAAGUUGUUGCCACAAAUUCUGCUUCAGUGGUAGACAGAGUCACCACUGGUUGCUUCUUUGAGGCCCAAGAAACUGCUCCUCCACUCAAUAAAAACACAUAACCAGAUGUGUUCUUCCUAUCAUUAGUGUCUCCAGCAUAAUCGAUGUCAGUGUAAGCCAAUAGUUCUCCAACAUCUUCUCCUCUCUUAUAAAACACACCCAACUCCACAGUUCCCUUUAAAUAAUGAAGAACUCUCUUUGUUGCUUGUAUAUGUAGGUCAGUAGGAUUGGCCAUAUACCUGCUCAAGAGACAUACUACGUACAUUAAAUCAGGUCUUGUUGCAGUAAUGUACAUGAGACUCCCAAUUAAUUGCUUAUAAAUUGUAGCAUCAAUCCUGGUAGCUUCUCCUUCCUUUAAUAGCUUGAAAUCAGGCACAAUAGGAUUCUUCAUGGAAUUGGCAUUUUGUAAACCAAACUUCUCAUGUAAUUUACAAGCAUACUUCUUCUGACUUAAGUAGAUACCCUCUGAAGUUUGCAAAACUUCAACACCAAGGAAGUACUUCAUCUUCCCUAAAUCCGUCAUAUCAAACUCAUCCUUCAUGGAACUCUUGAAGCUUUCAACAUGCAUGCAUCAUUCCUAGUAAAGAUUAAGUCAUCCACAUACAAACUCACAAUUAAGAACCUCUUACCUCCUUCUUCUGUUUUGACAAAGAGAGUGUGCUCGUAACCACAUCCUUCAAAGCCCUCCUUGACAAAAUAAGCUUCAAUUCUGCUAUACCAAGCACGUGGUGCUUGCUUCAACCCAUAUAAUGCCUUCUUAAGCUUGUAGACCUUUUCUUUAAAUUUUAUUUUAUUUUAUUUUUUGGUGGAAAUUGUCUCUUAAAGAGAUGAUUUCCAAUUACUUUUUUUUUUUUUUGACGGUUUUUUUGGUGAACUUUUGGAAAGACGAUUUUUUUUAAAAAAAAAAAAGGUCAUAAAUUGUCUUUUGAAGGGACAUUUAAAUAUAUAUAUAUAUAUAUAUAUAUAUAUCCUUCCCUCAUACCUCGCAAAAACUACCGUAAAUUUGGAAUUAUUUUUCUUACUACGGUAAUUUAAGAAUUAUUUUUUAAAAUUACCAUACUCUUAUAAAAUAUCUGAAUAAAGGAUAGGAAAGAGGUACCAUAGGAUUUUUUAUAAGACUAUGAUAGUUUUAAAAAAUAAUUCCUAAAUUAUUGUAGUAGGAAAAAUAAUUUCAAAUCUACCGUAGUUUUGUCCAGUUAGGAAAGAGAAAAUAAAUUGUAAGUGAAAAAUUGUCUCUUCAAAAUACGAUUUAUGAACUUUUAAAAAAAUUAUAAAAAAAAUCGUCUUUCCAUGACACGAUUUCAAAAAUAAAAAAUAAUAUAUAUAUAUAUAUAUAUAUGAGAAAUUCUUACUUAAAAAAAAAAAAAACUAAGUAGGAAAUUGUCUCUUUAAUAGACAACAACAAAAGUGAGAAAUUCUCACUUAAAAUAAAAUAAUAAUAAUAAUAAUAAAAUAAAAAAAUCUCAAGUGGAAAAUCGCCUAUUUUCCACACCACUUCUAAGAGUGAGAAAUUCUCACUUAAAAUAAAAAAAAACCCCUUCAAAAAUCCACUUUUUCAUUCUUUAUUCUAUUUAUACAAUAAUACAAUUAUUAUAAAUAUAUGUUAUAAAAUUAAUUAAUUUUAUUUACUAAAUUUAAUAUAAGAUAAAUAAUCUAUUAUUUUUUCUCUUACUUUGGAAUUAAAAAAAAACUAUUAUUAAUUUAAUAAUAAUUUUUUUAAAACUCAAUUUUCACAUAAAAUUGAUAAUAGUUUUUUUUAAAUUCCAAAGUGAAAGAAAAAAAUAAUAUGUAAAUAUUAUUUAUUUUAUAUUAAAUUUAGUGUAUUAUUUAUAUAUUAAAUUUAGUAAAUAAAAUUAAUUAAUUUUAUAAUAUAUAUUUAUAAUAAUUGUAUUAUUGUAUAAAUAGAAUAAAGAAGGGAAAAAAUGGAUUUUUUAAGGUUUUGUUUUUGUUUUUUUUUUAAAUGAGAAUUUCUCACUUUUGUGCUGCCUACUUGGGUUUUUUUUUUUUUAAUUUCUGAUUUUUAUGUGGAAAUUGUCUUUUUUUAAGAGACGAUUUCUCACUUAUUUCUCAUGUGAAAAUCUUCUUUUUUAAAGAGGAUUUCUCAUUUCUUAAAUUUUUUUGAAAUCGUCUCUUAAAGAGACGAUUUCUCAUAUAAAAAAUGAAAUUUUAGAAAUCGUGUUUUGGAAAGAUGAUUUUUUUUUUUAUAAUAUUUUUAAAAGUUCAUAAAUUAUCUUUUGAAAAGACGAUUUUUUAUUUAUAAUUUAUUUUCUUUUUUUACUUGGAUAAAACUAUGAUAAAUUUGAAAUUAUUUUUAUUGCUACACUAAUUUACGAAAUAUUUUUUAAAACUGUCGUAAUCUUACUGAAAAUCCAUAUACCUGAUGAUGGACUAGGUCAGAAGCAGAAAGAAGAAAUCAUAGCCCGGUAUGGCCACUCCAAAAAUCCUAACGACACGCAACUUCCUCUCCUCACCCAGAGGCGGCUUCCUCUGUUUCUCCACAUGGAUGACUCCACCCACCUCCCACUGCCACGACCCAAUCCUCACAACCAUUUCCGAGGCCAUCAAGGUCUCACCAACGAAGCCUCUCCACUCCUCUCUCAAGCGUAUCCUGCCUUCACUCACGCCCAAUCACCUCAUCGAUCUAAUCAACCUCAACCCACACUCCCUCUCCCCACCCUCUCUUCUCUCCUUCUUCAAAUGGCUUUCCACUCAACACCACUUUCGCCUCUCUAUUCACUCCUACUGCACUAUGACCCACUUUCUCU